UUUAUCGAUCCAAACAAAAAC
ensembl:piRNA 21ur-14083 ncRNA